ACUCCGUAUGAAAAUGCGCUUAAAGUUCACUUUCCUCAGACCUCACUACUCAGUUCUCUCUCCUCUCUCUUUCUCUCCUUCUCCCUCUUCUCUUCCUCAAAGACGAAGGCAACCAUCGCCGCAGCCGCAACCACAUCCACAACCACCAUCGCUCACAAAUCAAAUUCUCUUUCUUUCUUCUCCCUCCUCAUUCACUGAUGGUCAUGGCGGUGAUUGUGGUCGCGAGUGAUAACGACGGUGCGGUUUGAUUUUUAGGGUUUUGAUUGGUGUUCAUGCGAUGGUGAGUUUCGAUUUCUAAUUGAUGGCGGUGGUGGAGAGUUGCUGAACUAACGUCGCUCAAACUCCAGCUUUGUGCCCUGAUCUUUGAGAUGAUGUUGGUGUAAACAAUUACUUGAGCACAUCAACGAUUGCUAUGACAAGAGUUGGACUCGAUUAAGGAAACUUUGAACACUGAGUUGCAAAGAGCUCCAGCAGCAUUCAACAUCAUCAAGUACUAGUAAAAUAGGUGGAUACUGAAGUUGAAGAAGGUGCUUCCCAAAUUGCUUUACUUGAGAAAUUGGAGAAGUGGGAGAAAGAAAUGAUAAUGCGGUCCAAAAAUUGAUGAAAAUAUGGUUUGGGGGACAAAAUGAUUUUGUUUUAACAUUUUAAUUGUUUUUUUCUUAGUUUAACUAGUGAUGGUUUAAUUAUGGAAUUUUUCUUAUAGAUAACAAUGUACAAACUUUUAAUUUAUGUUAAUAAAUUCUGGUUUUUUU